GUGGGUUAAGAGCUCUCCUCUUAUUUCAAUGGUAUUGCAACUCCUUGAAAUUCCAGACUGUGUCAAGCAUGAAACUUCCAAGCUUUCAGCAGAUUCAUUGUGCUAUAAAAGGAACCUGCCCUGUGUUAGAGGUGACAUCUGAGAUGGAGGCUUCCCAUAGGUGUACCUUGUAAUGACAGCUGCAGCCUUUGCCUCAGGACAAAGAUACACACUGGAGGACCUGGGCACACUUAGGGGACGGUGGUCUGCAGUAUUCAAACUGCUAGUCCAACAUGACAGAGAUCCUUGUGAGAAGCUGCCAUGGUCAAGUGGUUUCAGAUGGAAACUACUACGGCAAAGCAAUGCCUUUGGACCCUGUGUUGGAAGUAAAGUGCAAUAUCAGCAGUCAAGGUCAAGUAAGCAAGGGCUGAACCCCCCUGCUAACCAGCUGAUGGAGCCUCUUUGCUGCCCUUGAGCUACAAGCCUUCCAGAAGUAUCGUGGGAUUCUGUGAUGAAGCCUUUACCUUUUCCACUUGAAGGUGCCAUCCAGAUAUACCUUGUGAUGAUGGCAUCAGCCUCUGAGCACAGCUGGAGAGUGGGGCUGAGGACCCAGGCAUUCCUAGGAGACGCUGACUGAGAGACAACAGCCUGGUGAUGGCAGGAACUUCCCAGCUGGUGAGGCAGCCUUCUUUUGCACCUGAUGUUAAUUUGCCUUGCUGGACUGAGCAGAUGGAUUAAACCUGUGGCAGAGUGCCCCACACCAGGAAGUAAUACUGGAUACCAGCGGUCAAAGGUGAUGGAAUGAGGUGGUCCACUUGCAAACACCCAGGGGAGGCCAGGCCCUGCCACUGCCCUCAGAAUGCCUAGGAACAGAGCAAACAGGAUUUCUCUGGGCCAUCCAUCCAGAUUAGAUGAAAAGUUGAGGUAUCUGUGAGCAGGUAUGGAGCUGAAGUUUGGAAACAGCAGCUGCCAUGGGGAACGUAUCAACAUCCACAGUGCUGAUGUGCUCUUUUCUGUCAAGGAUGGAUUUUGGCCACUUGUCUUCAGAGAGCUAAGUGUUCAGACUGGUGGUUGGGAGGAGGAAAAUUUUUGGGAGGCAAUUUAAAGUUAGUUUUGAGGGGAGGGCUGUUGUGGGACAUACCCUUUGGGACUAAAGUGGGAGGGUUUUCCUCAGCAUCACCCAAACCUUUAUAGAGCUGUUCCAACCCAUCUCUGUGUUGUCAUGAUCUUCGUGUCAUCAGCCUUUGAGUCUUGAUGUCAUCCUGGAUCUUUUUGCCCGAGGAGCCCACCUUUGGGUCUGGCACGAUGGCCACGGUCACCAUUUUACCUGCUCAUCAGUGCUCAAGCACUUCCUAGGGUAGCAUGCACACAUCCUGAGCCUUGGCCACAUUCUGCAAUGUCCCUUUGGUGGCAGAGUCCUUCUCUAGGGAUUCCUUUGUAUCACCUGGCAGUCAUUGGACCUACUCUAGGCCUACUGUGCUUCUCAAGCAUCCUCUUAACAGCUUCGGCACUGACUUCUUGUAAGGAGAUCUUGGCCUAGAGCCUUCUUUCCUUCGGCAUCAUCGGCCUCUGGCUCAUCUUGCACUAGGAAUCUUGGUUUCAUGAGGUGAAAGUGCUGGGAAGUUUC